rnacentral:sRNA from 1 species
UCUUGAAUAAGUUGAGAGGUUUGAAAUAUCAAUAUCUUCUGAGUGCUCAUGAUUGACAAUCAGAUAAUCUCAAUGCUGUAUGGCAGUAUAAAAUAGCACCAGACUUCGGGAUGCAAAGCUCUGAGAAAUCAUUGGUUCAAGAAGAUGAUAUUUAGAAUUGAUGGAAGUCAUAGAAUUUCAGUUUCAAUGAGUAAGAUCAGACUGAAUACAGUGAUGAGCCUCU